rnacentral:rRNA from 1 species
UUGCUCCUCUGACGUUAGCGGCGGACGGGUGAGUAACACGUGGAUAACCUACCUAUAAGACUGGGAUAACUUCGGGAAACCGGAGCUAAUACCGGAUAAUAUAUUGAACCGCAUGGUUCAAUAGUGAAAGACGGUUUUGCUGUCACUUAUAGAUGGAUCCGCGCCGCAUUAGCUAGUUGGUAAGGUAACGGCUUACCAAGGCAACGAUGCGUAGCCGACCUGAGAGGGUGAUCGGCCACACUGGAACUGAGACACGGUCCAGACUCCUACGGGAGGCAGCAGUAGGGAAUCUUCCGCAAUGGGCGAAAGCCUGACGGAGCAACGCCGCGUGAGUGAUGAAGGUCUUCGGAUCGUAAAACUCUGUUAUUAGGGAAGAACAAAUGUGUAAGUAACUAUGCACGUCUUGACGGUACCUAAUCAGAAAGCCACGGCUAACUACGUGCCAGCAGCCGCGGUAAUACGUAGGUGGCAAGCGUUAUCCGGAAUUAUUGGGCGUAAAGCGCGCGUAGGCGGUUUUUUAAGUCUGAUGUGAAAGCCCACGGCUCAACCGUGGGGGGUCAUUGGAAACUGGAAAACUUGAGUGCAGAAGAGGAAAGUGGAAUUCCAUGUGUAGCGGUGAAAUGCGCAGAGAUAUGGAGGAACACCAGUGGCGAAGGCGACUUUCUGGUCUGUAACUGACGCU